rnacentral:rRNA from 1 species
GACAGAGGAUGCAAGCGUUAUCCGGAAUUAUUGGGCGUAAAGCGUACGUAGGCGGCUUCAUAAGUCUAGGGUUAAAGACCACAGCUUAACUGUGGGAGAGCUUUGGAAACUGCGAAGCUAGAGGGUGGUAGGGGUAGCGGGAAUUCCCGGUGUAGCGGUGAAAUGCGUAGAUAUCGGGAAGAACACCAGCGGCGAAAGCGCGCUACUGGACCACAACUGACGCUGAGGUCCGAAAGCUAGGGGAGCGAACGGG